rnacentral:lncRNA from 1 species
AUGGGACUCCUAAUGGCAUUUCAGUCUGUUGCUGAGGCCAUUAUAUUUUAAUAUAAAUGUAGAAAAAGGAGACAAAUCUUAGUAAAGUGUAUUUUUUAGUAUUAGCUUGAUUAUUGACUCUUCUAUUUAAAUCUGCUUCUGUAAAUUAUGCUGAAAGUUUGCCUUGAGAACUCUAUUUUUUUAUUAGAGUUAUAUUUGAAGCUUUUCAUGGGAAAAGUUAAUGUGAAUACUGAGGAAUUUUGGUCCCUCAGUGACCUGUGUUGUUAAUUCAUUAAUGCAUUCUGAGUUCACAGAGCAAAUUAGGAGAAUCAUUUCCAACCAUUAUUUACUGCAGUAUGGGGAAUAAAUUUAUACCAAUUCCUCUAACUGUACUGUAACACAGCCUGUAAAGUUAGCCAUAUAAAUGCAAUGGGUAUAUCAUAUAUACAAAUCAGGAAUCAGGUCCAUUCACCGAACUUCAAAUUGAUGUUUACUAAUAUUUUUGUGACAGAGUAUGAAGACCCUGUGGUGGGUAAAUUAGAUACCAUUAGCAUAUUAUUAAUUUAAUGUCUUUAUCAUUGGAUCUUUUGCAUGCUUUAAUCUGGUUAACAUAUUUAAAUUUGCUUUUUUUCUCUUUACCUGAAGGCUCUGUGUAUAGUAUUUCAUGACAUCAUUGUAAAGUUUAACUCUAUCAAUAAAAAGUUUGGACAGUAUUUAAAUAUUGCAAAUAUGUUUAAUUAUACAAAUCAGAAUAGUAUGGGUAAUUAAAUCAAUAAAAAGAGAAGAGCCUCUUUCUGCAGCCAGCUUAGACUUGCUCUUCCCUUUCUGUAAGCUAGAUUUUAGAAUAAAGGGUUUCAGUUAAUAAUCUUAUUUUCAGGUUAUGUAAUCUAAGUUAUAGCAAACUACCACAAUACAGUGAGUUCUGCCAGUGUCCCAGUGCAAGGCAUAUUUUCAGGUGUGGCUAUGGAAUGUAAAUUGUUAAAAGUCUAAAAUGCUAAACUUGUAUCAGGUAACGUUAGCAAUAAAUUACAAUGCUAAGGAUGAUUAAUCGGGUACAUGUUACUGUAAUUAACUCAUUGCACUUCAAAACCUAACUUCCAUCCUGAAUUUAUCACGUAGUUCAGUAUUGUCAUUUGUUUUUGUUUUAUUGAAAAGUAAUGUUGUCUUAAGAUUUAGAAGUGAUUAUUAGCUUAAGAACUAUUACCCAGCUCUAGGCAAAUAAUGAUUGUAUACAUAUUAAGAAAAUGGUUAAAUGCGGUUUUACCAAAAGUUUUCCCUUGAAAAUGUCAUUCCUUUAUGGAGAUUUAUUGUGCAGCCCUAAGCUUCCUUCCCAUUUCAUGAAUAUAAGGCUUCUAGAAUCGGACUGGCAGGGGAAAGAAUGGUAGAGACAGAAAUUAAGACUUUAUCUUUGUUUGCUUGUAAACUAUUUUCUUGCUAAUGUAACAUUUGUCCGUUCCAGUGAUGUAAGGAUAUUAAGUUAUUAAGCUAAAUAUUAAUUUUCAAAAAUAGUCCUUCUUUAACUUAGAUAUUCCAUAGCUGGAUUUAGGAAGAGCUAUUAUUCUAGAAAUAGUAAAAGAAUAAUACAACAUACAAUGUCUGCAUUCACUAAUUCAUGUUCCAGAAGAGGAAAUACUGAAGAUAUACUCAGUAGAGUACUGUAGUGGAGGAUAUGGAAAUUUGCUCAUAAAAUCUCUUAUAAAACAUACGUAUAACAAACAAAAUGACAUCCAAUAGGCCUGCAUUAUAUUUACAUGACAGUGUUUAUUUGCCAUCAAAUAAACUGAGUACCGACACUAGACAAAGACUCCAAAGUCAUAAAAUAGCCUGUGACCAACUGCAGCAAGACAGGAGGUCAGCUCGCCUAUAAUGGUGCUUAAAGUGUGAUUGAUGUAAUUUUCUGUACUCACCAUUUGAAGUUAGUUAAGGAGAACUUUAUUUUUUUAAAAAAAGUAAAUGGCAUCCACUAAUGUGCUCAUCCUGAACUGUUACUCCAAAUCCACUGUUUUUAAAGCAAAAUUAUCUUGUGAUUUUAAGAAAAGAGUUUUCUAUUUAUUUAAGAAGUAACAAUGCAGUCUACAAGUUUUCAGUAGUUUUCUAGUGCUAUGUUCAUCUUGCAGAACUCUUACUACAUAACCAGUAAUCACAAGGAAAGUGUCCCCUUUGCAUAUUUCUUUAAAAUUCUUUGGAAAGGAUGAUGUUGAUAAUUAACUUACCCUUAUCUGCCAAAACUAGAGCAAACUGCUAAAUAUGUUAUUGCUAGUUAAUCAAUCAGUGGUCUCAAAUCGAUUUGCCUCCCUUUGCCUCGUCUGAGGGCUGUAAGCCUGAAGAUAGUGGCAAGCACCAAGUCAGUUUCCAAAAUUGCCCCUCAGCUGCUUUAAGUGACUCAGCACCCUGCCUCAGCUUCAGCAGGCAUAGGCUCACCCUGGGCGGAGCAAAGUAUGGGCCAGGGAGAACUACAGCUACGAAGACCUGCUGUCGAGUUGAGAAAAGAGGAGAAUUUAUGGUUUGAAUUUUCUAUCUAUCUGUCCUCUUUCUUGGGUCUAAAGCUCAUAAUAUACAAAGGCUUCCAGACCUGAGCCACGCCCAGGCCCUACCUAUCCUGAACGGGAGACUAAACAGAGGCAAAUCAACCUUAGGAAAUACUUGCAUUCUGCCCUACGAUUAGUACCAGGACUGAGGUCAUUUCUACUGCAAAAGAUUGUGAGAUUGAACUUUUCUGAUCGCUUGAGACUCCUAAUAGGAGUCAAGGCCACUAGAAAAUUGACAGUUAAGAGCCAAAAGUUUUUAAAAUAUGCUACUCUGAAAAUCUCGUGAAGGCUGUAGGAAAAGGGAGAAUCUUCCAUGUUGGUGUUUUUCCUGUAAAGAUCAGUUUGGGGUAUGAUAUAAGCAGGUAUUAAUAAAAAUAACACCAAAGAGUUAUGUCAAACAUGUUUUAUUAAUUUUGGUCCCCACUUAUAGACAUUUUAUUUCUAUCAUCUUGAAAUGAGUUAUCUAUUUUCAUAAAACAUUACUGAAGUGCUGUUUUAUGUGAAAUAACUCGAAUGUUGUUCCUAUAAAAAAUAGAUCAUAACUAAUAUGUUUGUAAUAAUGGUAAUUUAGAUUUUUAUGAGGAAUGAGUAUCUGGAAAUAUUGUAGCAAUACUUACUUAGUUUAAAAUUUUGGACCUGAGACACUGUGGCUGUCUAAUGUAAUCCUUCAAAAAUUCUCUGCAUUGUCAGUAAAUGUAGCAUAUUAUUGUACAGCUCUCCAUAAUUUUUUAAAGUUUAUGAAGUUAUAUUUAUGAAAUAAAAAUUUUCCUAU